rnacentral:rRNA from 1 species
AUUGAACGCUGGCGGCAGGCCCAACACAUGCAAGUCGAACGCGUGGCGGACGGGUGAGUAAUGUCUGGGAAACUGCCUGAUGGAGGGGGAUAACUACUGGAAACGGUAGCUAAUACCGCAUACCAGCAGCUGUGCCCAGAUGGGAUUAGCUAGUUGGUGGGGUAACGGCUCACCAAGGCCACGAUCCCUAGCUGGUCUGAGAGGAUGACCAGCCACACUGGAACUGAGACACGGUCCAGACUCCUACGGGAGGCAGCAGUAGGGAAUAUUGCACAAUGGGCGCAAGCCUGAUGCAGCCAUGCCGCGUGUAUGAAGAAGGCCUUCGGGUUGUAAAGUACUUUCAGCGGGGAGGCGUUACCCGAAGAAGAAGCCCCGGCUAACUCCGUGCCAGCAGCCGCGGUAAUAC